rnacentral:rRNA from 1 species
CAGGCUGCAACUCGCCUGCAUGAAGUCGGAAUUGCUAGUAAUCGCGGAUCAGCAUGCCGCGGUGAAUACGUUCCCGGCCUUGUACACACCGCCCGUCACACCAUGGGAGUCGGUAACACCCGAAGCCGAUAGUCUAACGAAAGAGGACGUCGUCGAAGGUGGGAUUGAUGACUGGGUGAAGUCGUAACAAGGUACC